rnacentral:lncRNA from 1 species
CCCUCCCUUUUCUUAGAAAGCUAAAAACAUAAGAACCAACGGUGCAACUGAAAAACUAGAAGAAUGAUUCAGUUUUGAGCGACAUCUUCGUGAUCUCAAUUCAGCUAGUUCAACUGGGUAUCGAAUUAUAUUAGAGGGGCAAGGUGGAUCAUAAUGACAAUUGAAUUUAUGUUACUGGGAACGACUAGGAUCUUCUUGAGAGUAGCGAAUCCACUCAAUUGAAGAGCAAUCAAGAAAAUUUACGGACCGAUUUCUCUUCAACCGAGAACGAAACUCUCUUGAGAGAAAACACUAAGAAAGAAAGAAAAAAAAAGAGAGAAAAGAUCUAGGAGAGAGAAAUGAUACUAAAGGAUUUAAAGUCUGAAUAAAAGAAGACUUACUUACAAGAAAGAAGCCAAAUGGUUGGCCAAAGUGUUGUCUGACAGAAAAUAAAUAUCGAGAAAACUGAUUUAUUGUUUAAGGGAAAGAAAUUUCUAAUAUUUUCAAGAUUCACCAUAUGUUACUUUUCAAAAAACGUAAUCACUUGCAUUGAAAAAGAUUGGAUAAAGAUUUCAAGAAGAGUUCUAAAGAAGGUAUCUGUUAAGAAGACGCAAUGAUCUGUCAACAGUUUUUAAAAACAGUGUGAUGUCAUAAAAGUAUUUGUAUAAUAAUCUAGUUAUAAAUUUGUAAACAAUAUAUAUUGUAAGUAUAUUGCGCACACAAUAAACAAACAUUUCUUAACAUUUCCUAAACAUUUCUUAAUUUUUAUGUUGUAAUUUUGCCACUUCAGACAUUUAGUUUGAUUCUUCGU